GUUACCAGGCUACCAGUGAAGGCCAAAUCCAUGCUAAUCGCAGCGGACGGGUUACCAGUAGAGAGAUGAGUUUCAGUACAUAGCAUGGGAACUGGGGGAGAGGUGAAGGUCGUGACAGGAAAUAGGAGGUGCGUAGGGUCAAAGAAAACAUCAAGAAAACUACAUGAGACCCUAAACGGAAGCUGAAAUGGGAGGUCAUGAGAGGACAUAGGAGAUGCUUAAGGUCAAAGAAGACAUCAAGAAAGAUACAUGAGUCCUAAACUGGGGGAAUGGUGGAGGUCAUGAGAGGACAUAGGAGAUGCUUAAGGUCAAAGAAGACAUCAAGAAAGAUACAUGAGACCCUAAACGGAAGCUGAAAUGGGAGGUCAUGAUAGGAAAUAAGGUGCAUAGGGUCAAAAAAAGAAAUCAAGAAAGUUACAUCAGUCCAAAACGGGUGAAAGAUUGAGGUCAUGAUAGGAAACAGGAGGUGCAUAAGGUCAAUGAAGGAGCAAUCACCAAAUUUUAAGAGUGUCAUCACCCU